rnacentral:rRNA from 1 species
GACGAACGCUGGCGGCGUGCUUAACACAUGCAAGUCGAACGGAAAGGCCCUGCUUGCAGGGUACUCGAGUGGCGAACGGGUGAGUAACACGUGGGUGAUCUGCCCUGCACUUCGGGAUAAGCCUGGGAAACUGGGUCUAAUACCGGAUAGGAGCCAUUUUUAGUGUGAUGGUUGGAAAGUUUUUUCGGUGUAGGAUGAGCUCGCGGCCUAUCAGCUUGUUGGUGGGGUAAUGGCCUACCAAGGCGGCGACGGGUAGCCGGCCUGAGAGGUUGGACGGCCACUUGGGGCUUGGGUGCGGCCCAAGCUUCUACGGGGGGGAGGCAUUGGGAAAAAUGCACAAAGGGGGCAAACCAGGUGGAAGGACGGCGCGUGGGGGGUUACCGCCGUUCGGUUGUAAAACUCCUUCGGUUGGGGCGGAGGUUCUUGGGGACGGACCUAGGUUAAAAGGCACCGGCUAAUACCUU